CCAAAUCAGAUGCAGAUGUGAUGCCAUCAGUUAGGGAGAAGAGACCAAGGACAAGUCCACCAUGGGGUCUCUCCCCUCCCAUUUUCCAAAAUCCAGCAAUCAGGAGGCAUGGGAGUGAGCCACCCUUGUGAAGAUGAAGGUGGAGCUACCCAAGAGUAGAAAUUUUGUUGUCCCUUGCCAAGUGGCUAUUUGACUCAACUUCAAAUUGGAGGACGAGAACACACCAAUAAGGAAAACCUGAGGCCCUUGGCUACGCCUUGUAGUGAAAAUGUCGAAUGCAGUGGCAUUCAAAACCAUUUCAAUAAAAAUCCUUUCAGGUGUCCUUGAAGUUGCAGGUGCAAGUGUCUCUGCAUCCACCUUUGCUGUUCCAUUGCUAUGUGGUGCUGUUAUAGUUGCAGGUGCUGCAUACAUUGUGCACAGAGUCCACAAGAAUGACAAGAAGUAUUACUGAACAGUCCAUGGCACAUGAUGGGAUGACAUCGGACACGAACAAGAUCAGAAUCCUAAUACCACAUUGCUUUCAAUGAGCUGUCCUGUUUUAAUCACCAGGAUUUGUCAUGCUGAUUAAAUUUGCCCAUAGUUUGUAGUUCUGGUGUGUAUAAUGAGCCCUAUUUUUGAUUUGAUGACAACAUAGGCUAUUGGUAAUUAAAGCUGAUUAUGAGUUUGUUUUUCCCUCCUGUGCACAUGUGUUCUGCAGAGUUGACACAAUGAGGCAUCUAGUUUCUAUCACACAGAGAAUCGAGUUGAUAGGAAUAUAUAUAUUCACUUCUUGAGAUCUGAAAUCUUAUGGGAAUCCCAUAAACCUGGGAAAAUCUCACAACAGCUAUGAGAUGAUGUCACAAUAAAUGAUGUCUGUGCUGCAGAUGUAUUCAAAAUGUGUACAACAGAUGCAGAGUAAUAUCUUGCUUUUGGGGGGGGGCUGUAUGUCAAAUGAUGCGUAUCCACAUAAUUACGCUUAUGUUGCCGUGUUUUCCAUUUUGUUAUCAUCACAUUCUUCUUUAUAAAUUUGUUUCUUUUCAAAUGACA